rnacentral:siRNA from 1 species
UGGAAAAUAAGUCUCUGUGGUA